GGAUUAGAUACCCUGGUAGUCCACGCUGUAAACGAUGAUUACUCGCUGUUGGCGAUAUACUGUCAGUGGCUGAGCGAAAGCAUUAAGUAAUCCACCUGGGGAGUACGGUCGCAAGAUUGAAACUCAAAGGAAUUGACGGGGGCCCGCACAAGCGGUGGAGCAUGUGGUUUAAUUCGAUGAUACGCGAGGAACCUUACCAGGGCUUAAAUGUAGAUUGACAGAUCUGGAAACAGAUUUUUCUUCGGACAAUUUACAAGGUGCUGCAUGGUUGUCGUCAGCUCGUGCCG
rnacentral:rRNA from 1 species